ensembl:lncRNA
GAGAGAUCUUUAACUCCCACCUCCGGCAGAGCUUCGACUGGAUCCCGAGGGAGGCUGGAGAUAUUGAGUCUGAGUGGACCAUGUUCUCCACCGCCAUUGUUGAAGCGGCCACUCUGAGCUGUGGCCGUAAGGUCUCCGGUGCCUGUCGAGGCGGCAAUCCCCGAACCCGGUGGUGGACACCGGAAGUAAGGGAUGCCGUCAAGCUGAAGAAGGAGUCCUAUCAGGCCUGGUUGGCUUGUGGGACUCCUGAGGCAGCUGACGGGUACCGAAAGGCCGAGCGGACUGCAGCCCGGGUGGUUGUGGAGGCAAAAACUGGGGCCUGGGAGGAGUUCGGUGAGGCCAUGGAGAAGGACUAUCGGCUGGCCUCGAAGAGAUUCUGGCAAACCAUCCGGCGCCUCAGGAGAGGGAAACAGUGCUCUACCAACGCUGUUUACCGUAGAGGUGGGCAGCUGUUGACCUCAACUGGGGAUGUCGUCGGCCGGUGGAAGGAGUACUUCGAGGAUCUCCUCAAUCCCGCCGUCACGUCUUCCAUUGAGGAAGCAGAGGAGGAGGGCUCAGAGGUGGACUCAUCACCCGGGCUGAAGUCACAGAGGUGGUAGAAACUCCUCGGUGGCAAGGCACCGGGGGUGGAUGAGAUCCGCCCUGAGUACCUCAAGUCUCUGGAUGUUGUGGGGCUGUCUUGGCUGACAGUACCUCCAAAUCCGAGGCCAUGUUCCUCAGUCGGAAAAGUGUGGCUUGCCCACUUCAGGUUGGUGGAGAGUGCCUGCCUCAAGUGGAGGAGUUUAAGUAUCUAGGGGUCCUGUUCACGAGUGAGGGAAGGAUGGAACGGGAGAUUGACAGACGGAUCGGUGCAGCUUCUGCAGUAAUGCGGUUGAUGUAUUGGUCUGUCGUGGUGAAGAAAGAGCUAAACCGCAAGGCGAAGCUCUCGAUUUACCGGUCAAUCUACGUUCCUACUCUCACCUAUGGUCAUGAGCUUUGGGUCAUGACCGAAAGGACAAGAUCCCGGAUACAGGCGGCCGAAAUGAGCUUUCUCCGCAGGGUGGCUUGGGCAUCUGUUCCGGAUGCCUCCUGAACGCCUUACCGGGAAGGUGUUCCGGGCCCGUCCCACCGGGAGGAGACCCCGUGGAAGACCUAAGACACGCUGGACGGACUAUGUCUUCCGGCUGGCCUGGGAACGCCUCAGUGUCCCCCCGGAAGAGCUGGAGGAAGUGUCUGGGGAGAGGGAAGUCUGGGCAUCCCUGCUUAGACUGCUGCCCCCGCGACCCGGCCCCGGAUAAGUGGAAGAAGAUGAUGAUGAUGACAUUCUUACCAGUUAUACCAGGUUCCAGAGAUAUGCCUAUACAUGAAAUCAUUGAAAAACUACCAGGAUAUUUAGAGCAGGAGACGUACAUUCAUUAUGUCGUAGAUGUAGUCUGAUUGUAAAAAAUAUUAUGUGAAUAAGGCUUUAAAAAUAUUUGUUGUUUUAAUUAAAACUGUAACAUUAUGAUUUUUCAGUGGAUACAGCCCAAGCUUCCCAUAGUCUGGAUGAAUUUGAAGGGGGAUCGGAAGAUGAAAUUCUUCCAUUUUAUACGAAUAACAAUUUUGAGUCAUUAGUUAGUUCCCAUGAGCUAUACAUGCUGACAUUCCGCCUUCGCCCAAAAAAACGUGCAUGCUUAUAAAUAUUUGUUUUAAAAUUUCAGAUGUGACCGAAGUAACCCUGCAAAACAAUACACGUGUUCUAAAACAACAAUCCUUGGAUAGUUUUCUUCAACAUACUUCAUCUGUAACUAGCGAACACAUAGAUGUAGCAGUUCACAAAGAUCUACAAGAUGGCAGAGUUGAUCAACUUGGCCCGCAAAACGUCCAAACAUCCAAUGCAAGGAGGCAACAAUGGCUUGAUGAAUGCGAGUAAUGAUGUUUUAAUGCAGUUGAAAAUAUUUUUGAUACCCCUAAAGCGGCACGGGUCCUGAUUCACAACCAUUCUACAGACUGAUAACAAAUCAACUUUACAGUGCGAGACUUCCAGUGAUGAAGAAGAGCAGAGACAAUUUGGGAAUGUAUUAAAAGCUAGAGAACCUCAACUGCACAGGCCUAUGUUUGAACUGAUGACCAAUCAGUGGUGUCAGGAUAGAGUAUUCUGGAGAAAUAAGCUUCCCCAGCUCAUAUGCAAAAAAAAAAAACACACAACAGUCUGUAAAAGUCUGUAAUAUGGAACCAACAGACUAUGACACCCUGAUUGAUGAGGUAAAACCUAUGUGACAACAAGACAGAUGGACAGCAUCUUACCACACCCCUUUUUCCACUAUAAGUACUGAUGACUGUUCAGGUAUUAAGUUAGCGACUCCUUGGAUGAUUAUGUUUGUAAGCAUUUGACUGGUCUCUCUAUUUGCAAAUAAACAUAAUUAUGCCAAG